ACAGCUCAAAUUUGAAAUCUGGCCCUCGGGUCCGAAUUGUAAUUUGUAGAGGAUGAUUUUGGUGCGGUAUCUUCCGAGUUCCUUGGAACAGGACGCCUUAGAGGGUGAGAGCCCCGUACGGUUGAAUGCCUAGCCUCUGUAAAUCUCCUUCGACGAGUCGAGUAGUUUGGGAAUGCUGCUCUAAAUGGGAGGUAAAUUUCUUCUAAAGCUAAAUAUUGGCCAGAGACCGAUAGCGCACAAGUAGAGUGAUCGAAAGAUGAAAAGCACUUUGAAAAGAGGGUUAAAUAGCACGUGAAAUUGUUGAAAGGGAAGGAUUUGUGACCAGACUUUUUCUGGGCGGAUCAUCCGGGGUUCUCUCCGGUGCACUUUGCCCAGUAAAGGCCAGCAUCGAUUUUCGGCGGCGGAUAAAAGCAGUGGGAAUGUGGCUCCCUACGGGGAGUGUUAUAGCCCAUUGUAUAAUACGCUGCUGGGGAUCGAGGUACGCGCUUCUGCAAGGAUGCUGGCGUAAUGGUUAUCAAUCACCCGUCUUG
rnacentral:rRNA from 1 species